rnacentral:rRNA from 1 species
ACAGCAGCAGCCGCGGGAAUACGUAGGGUGCAAGCGUUAAUCGGAAUUACUGGGCGUAAAGCGUGCGCAGGCGGUUAUAUAAGACAGAUGUGAAAUCCCCGGGCUCAACCUGGGAACUGCAUUUGUGACUGUAUAGCUAGAGUACGGCAGAGGGGGAUGGAAUUCCGCGUGUAGCAGUGAAAUGCGUAGAUAUGCGGAGGAACACCGAUGGCGAAGGCAAUCCCCUGGGCCUGUACUGACGCUCAUGCACGAAAGCGUGGGGAGCAAACAGGAUUAGAUACCCGGGUAGUCCCUGUCUCUUAUAA